CACGUAGGAGGCGAGCGUUGUCCGGAAUCAUUGGGCGUAAAGAGCGCGCAGGCGGCUUGGCAAGUCGGGUGUGAAAUCCCGGGGCUCAACCCCGUGACUGCAUCCGAUACUGUCAGGCUAGAGGUAGGUAGGGGAGAUCGGAAUUCCUGGUGUAGCGGUGAAAUGCGCAGAUAUCAGGAGGAACACCGGUGGCGAAGGCGGGUCUCUGGGCCGAUACUGACGCUGAGGAGCGAAAGCGUGGGUAGCAAACAGG
rnacentral:rRNA from 1 species